rnacentral:rRNA from 1 species
UACGUAGGGUGCAAGCGUUAAUCGGAAUUACUGGGCGUAAAGCGUGCGCAGGCGGUUAUGUAAGACAGAUGUGAAAUGCCCGGGCUUAACCUGGGAACUGCAUUUGUGACUGCAUGGGCUAGAGUUUGGCAGAGGGGGGUAGAAUUCCACGUGUAGCAGUGAAAUGCGUAGAUAUGUGGAGGAACACCGAUGGCGAAGGCAGCCCCCUGGGUCAAGACUGACGCUCAUGCACGAAAGCGUGGGGAGCAAACAGG